AGCUGCACACGGUGGCCUGCAGCUGUGGCACGGAGACCUUCCCAACCCGCACGCCCUCCAGGAGGCCUCUGCGCUGCUCCUCAGUGAAGUGGCAGGAGGUGAGCAGGUCCCAGAGGGACUUGCCGUCCUCACCCCCUGGUGUGCCCUGCAGGAUGUCCUGGAGCUGAGUGUCAGUGGGAACGGCAGGAGCAUCUUCUGCCAGAGGCAGGAGAUGGAGGCCAGAGGCCUUGUCCCGGGGGCACUUCUCCAGCAACUGGGCAUAGCUGGUGAAGCCCUGGCCGUCUGGAGUGGGGAAGGUCUUGGGAGAGCCGGACAAGGCCAUGUCCAUCUCUUGGUCUAUGAAGCCCCGCUGGAUGGCCACAGGCAAGGGGAGGUGGUGGUGGCCUGUGGGAUCAAUGGCCCCUCCCGUUGACACCUGGGCCUCCAGCAGCCGGGCAGCCUGCUCCAUUGGGAUCAGGCCCUUCUUCAUGGCCUGGAACAGGGAGAUUCUCUUCCCAGAGAAGGGGUCUCUGAAGCCAGUGACGGCACCCUCGGCCCACCGCAGCCUGCUGCACACCUCUGGCCCCACCACGCCCCGGCGCACAGCCUCGUCCACGGACAGUAUCUCCAGACUGCUAGGGUCUGUGAUGGCCCCAGUGGCUGCCUGGGCCUCCAGCAGGGUCAGGGCCACGCCAGGUGCCAGCAGCUUCUGCUUCAUGGCCUGAUAAAGGCUGAGCCUCUGUUGGGAGG
rnacentral:lncRNA from 1 species